AGAAUCAACGCUGGCGGCGUGCCUAACACAUGCAAGUCGAACGAGAAAGUGGAGCAAUCCAUGAGUAAAGUGGCGCACGGGUGAGUAACACGUGACUAACCUACCCUUGAGUGGGGAAUAACUGAGGGAAACCUUGGCUAAUACCGCAUAAUACCUACGGGUCAAAGGAGCAAUUCGCUUAAGGAGGGGGUCGCGGCAGAUUAGCUAGUUGGCGGGUAAUGGCCCACAAGGCAGUGAUCUGUA
rnacentral:rRNA from 1 species